UCCAAAGACAUAAACAAUGCUCCCAUUAUCUCCUUUCUCCCACUCACUCCAUCCCUAUCCCAUAGCUUAUCAGAUUUCCAAAGUGAAAAUCUAGGAAAAGCCAUCAGACGUUGGUUCAUGGAAGGUGGGAGAAUUCUGGAGUAGUCUGGCAAAGGAGAGGAGAAAGAAAGAGGAUUGGAUUAAGGAGGUGCACAUAGGAGUGUAUUGGCCUCUCUCUCUCUCCCAUCAUUAUAUUCCUAUCUUCUCCAUUCUUUGUGCUGAACUCUCUGCUGGGGUUAACCCAGACAACAUCAAAAUUGGAUGACAGGUGGUAGGAAGAUCAUUUCGACCUCCAAGCAUGUUAUAAAAAAGCUGUGGUUGAAAGAAAACCCUGAAAGAGUGUGUUCUGAGUUUGUCUCAAGUAAAGGAAGAACUGACUGGCGGUUUCCAGAACUCCAUUGAUUAGGCUGUGAUGCUUGGAGAACCUUUCCCAGAUCUGAAGAAGAGCUCUGUGGGGCUCGAAAGUUUGUCUCUUCCACCUACAAAAGUUGCCUGGUCCCUGUGACUUUAUGCUGCAAUUUUUUCAAGCCUCCCUACUCUAUCCCGAAGGCUGUCUCAGAUAAGGCGGAGGAAAAUAAAGACGAGAGAUGAAAUGUUCUCGAAAAUCAUGGAAGUAACCUGCAAUGAAAGAGCUCAUCUGAAUGAGCGGAAGGACAUGGUAUCAAAUUACAGGAAAGAUGCCAGUGAACGUGAGGACAGGAGGGAUGAACGUGAUGAGAGGUGGCGGCAGCAAGAUCAGAGAAGGCAUGAUGAAACGCUGGGGCUGCUGCAUGAUCAAACUGACAUCCUCCGACAUCUGGUGGAGCUUCAGGAGCAGCGGCAGGAUCACAGAGUGCCGCUGCAGUCCCUGUGUAACCACCCUCACCACUCACCAUGUUCCAUAUCUUCCUCACCCAGACGUGUAAGAACGCAUGGGGGAAGGCUUCGUGCACCCACCCACUCCACUCCCGUGGGCAGCCCAACCAAAAGGCUGUCAUUACUUUGAAAUAUUUUUAGUGGCCUUUUCCUUCCCUCCUAUCCUCCUCCCAAACCCCACCCGGGAUACCUUGUCAGUUCUCUCCCUCUUUUUAUAAUGACUUUUUAAUAAAGAAUACAUGAUUUUUAAA